rnacentral:rRNA from 1 species
GACGAACCGUGCGAACGUUAUUCGGAAUUAUUGGGCUUAAAGGGUGCGUAGGCGGCGGUGUAAGUCAGGUGUGAAAUCUUGCCGCUCAACCGUAGAAUGGCGCCCGAUACUGCAGUGCUUGAAGGAGACAGAGGUAGGCGGAACUGAUGGUGGAGCGGUGAAAUGCGUUGAUAUCAUCAGGAACACCAGUGGCGAAAGCGGCUUACUGGGUCUUAUCUGACGCUGAGGCACGAAAGCUUGGGUAGCAAACAGG